CGGCCGGGGCUGACGGCGCUGCUGGUGCUGCUGCCCCUCGGGCUGGUGCUGGGCCUGGGGGUGGCCGCCAGGGCGCUGUGGCAGGAGUGGCGCCGGCGCAACACCAACAGCAUCAGCUUCACCAACGCCACCUUCCGGAAAGGGCCCGGGGACCCCCUGGAUGGGGGGGGGCUCGGGGACCCCCUGCGGCCGCUGACGUCAGAGGACGACGAGCCCUGAGGAUUUGGGGGAGCCGAGACCCCCCCAGAGCCCCCCGGCGUGGGGGAGCCGC